rnacentral:rRNA from 1 species
AUACGGAGGAUGCGAGCGUUAUCCGGAUUUAUUGGGUUUAAAGGGUGCGUAGGCUGUGCGUUAAGUCAGGGGUGAAAUGCCGUCGCUCAACGACGGAGCUGCCCUUGAUACUGGCGUGCUGGAGUACGGAUGCCGUUGGAGGAAUGAGUGGUGGAGCGGUGAAAUGCUUAGAUAUCACUCAGAACACCGAUUGCGAAGGCAUCUGACGAAUCCGUCACUGACGCUGAGGCACGAAAGCGUGGGGAUAGAACAGGAUUAGAUACCCUGGUAUUCCACGCCGUAAACGAUGAUGACUAACCGUCGGCGAUAGACAGCCGGUGGCCAAGCGAAAGCGAUAAGUCAUCCACCUGGGGAGUACGUCGGCAACGAUGAAACUCAAAGGAAUUGACGGGG